rnacentral:rRNA from 1 species
GACGAACGCUGGCGGCGUGCUUAACACAUGCAAGUCGAACGGAAAGGCCCUGCUUUUGUGGGGUGCUCGAGUGGCGAACGGGUGAGUAACACGUGAGUAACCUGCCCUUGACUUUGGGAUAACUUCAGGAAACUGGGGCUAAUACCGGAUAGGAGCUCCUGCUGCAUGGUGGGGGUUGGAAAGUUUCGGCGGUUGGGGAUGGACUCGCGGCUUAUCAGCUUGUUGGUGGGGUAGUGGCUUACCAAGGCUUUGACGGGUAGCCGGCCUGGGAGGGUGACCGGCCACAUUGGGACUGAGAUACGGCCCAGACUCCUACGGGAGGAAGCAGUGGGGAAUAUUGCAAAAGGGGCGGAAGCCGGAUGCAGCAACGCCGCGGGCGGGAUGACGGCCUUCGGGUUGUAAACCGCUUUCGCCUGUGACGAAGCGUGAGUGACGGUAAUGGGUAAAGAAGCACCGGCUAACUACGUG